ACAGAUGCAGCCUUGCUGGAAUCAGCAAGAACAACCACCCCCAGGACUUCAGCCUCAACAUGAGCUAACAGGCAUUAAAAGCCCUCAGGUUUGAUUGUCUUCACUUAACUGGCAUUAUUAUGGAGUUGUAGACCUGGUGUGGGGAGUAUGGGGAUCAACCUCAGAAGCCUCCAGAGAGAGAUUGGUGGACUCUAGGAGUGUCGAUCUCAGACUGACCAUCGCUGGGGCCACAUCCAAGCAGCAGCCCUUUGUCCAGAGCCAUUUCCUCCACUGGCCUCAGUUUCUGUAGGGCCCAGAUGGUGCUGAAGUCAGAUGCCAAGGGGAAAGUGACUUUACCCACGAGAGAGAUUUUUAAAUAUUCCCCCAACUGCUCCGAUGGGACCGUCUAGUUACAGGAAAACAAGCUCAAGGCUCCCACUGAUUCUACAUUACGUCCAUGGAAAAACUGUCUUCCCUGGUGCCAAAAAGGUUGACGGCUGUUCUGCAGCAAGGUCUUUAAACAAUGCCUGUGACAUAGACAAUCCCUCAGAAAGAUGCUUAUCUAACGUUCCCAGUGGUCAUGACUUUUGGCAAGAAAGUUGGAGAUGUGACCAGCUGCACAUGACUUUACCUAAAAGCUUGCUAUGUAAAGGACACUUUCUGGAGAGUGGGUGUAGGAAUUCACUGUCUCACUGCUGCCCAAGACAGCACUACUGUUUGUAAGCCCCUAUUAAAUAUUUCUUUCUGAGAAAGUGGAUUUGUCAGCCUCUGUUUUUGGCCUUCAGCUCCCUUGGCCUUUGUGGGUAGGUUUGUAUAUACCUGCUCACUGCAGAAAAAUAUUCUACUCCAGUUUGUGAUAUAUUUGGGUUUACAGAUAGUCUGGUUACUGGAGUUUGAACCCAGUUCUGACUCCAAUGCUCAUGAUCUUUCACUCUACCACAUAGUCUUCCAGAAACAAAUCAUAUGUGGUCUCUGCCCUUGAUAGAUUCUCCAUCUAGCAUGAGAGAUGGGUAUAUAAACAAAUGAUUGCUGCAGAAAAUUUAAUAGAAAACUAAGGAAGGUGAUGCUAACUCUACCUGGGCAUGUCAGGGAAAGUAUCACAUAGGAGGGAGUAUUCGUAGUGAGUGUUUCCACCAGGAAAGACAAGCAGAGGGACUUUCCUAUGUACAGUAACAUGCUUCACUCAUAGUUUUAAAAAUUAACGUUCUCACCCUUUUUUCCCAGCCAUCGUUGGUGUCACCAAUCUCCCAUGCUCUCCUAAAAAAUUUUCCUUUUCCCGUUUUUGCACUUCUCCUAUAUAAUUAAUUUACAUGUCUUCUGUUUUCUCUAUACUUACAGCUCCUUGACCAAAAGACCAUGAUUUAUUUAUCUUUGUGCACCUAGCACAGUGCCUUACAAAGACUAGGCAUUAAUAAACACUCAUUGGGCACCUGAAGAUAGGUACAGAUUUCUAGGUAAAGAAACUAGGAUGUGCACAGGCCUUGUGGGCGAUGGAGCAUAGCAUGUUCAAAGGCCUGAAAGACAAGAUCAGAAUGACUAGCUAUUAGGCAGUAGUGGUGGUGGUGGUAAUAGAGGCAGAGUGUUCAGGAAGGUGAUGUUGUAGGGUAGAGUAAUCUGAGAUAAAACUGGGACUGGUUGGAGUUAGACCAUUAGGAUCUUAGAGAACAUGUUAAAGAUUUUGGUCUUCAUCCUAAGAGCAGUAGGAGGCCACGGAACAAAGGGUCAAUGGGUAACACACUGAAAAGUUCACCUGAGCUCCAUUGAGGGGUAAGGGCUGGGGACAAAUACAACAAGGGAAAAUAUAGAAGGCUACUACAGUCAUCCAAAUAUUGGAUGUGGCUUUUAGUGAAGUUUGGAAGAAGUGCCCCUUUUUUAGGAAUACCAUACAGAAAAGUCACAUAUUUGAACAUAACUACUUGCCUAAUCCUUUUAGGAUUUUCUUUUC
rnacentral:lncRNA from 1 species